rnacentral:rRNA from 1 species
CCUACGGGCGGCAGCAGUAGGGAAUCUUUCACAAUGGGCGAAAGCCUGAUGGAGCAACGCCGCGUGCAGGAUGAAGGCCUUCGGGUUGUAAACUGCUUUUAUAAGCGAGAAAUAUGAUGGUAACUUAUGAAUAAGGAUCGGCUAACUACGUGCCAGCAGCCGCGGUCAUACGUAGGACCCGAGCAUUAUCCGGAGUGACUGUGUGUAAAGAGUUGCGUAGGUGGCAUAAUAAGUAGCUAGUGAAAUCUGGUGGCUCAACCAUUCAGACUAUUAGCUAAAGUGUUAAGCUCGAGACCGUUAGGGGUAACUGGAAUUUCUAGUGUAGGAGUGAAAUCCGUAGAUAUUAGAAGGAACACCAAUAGCGUAGGCAGGUUGCUGGGACGGUUCUGACACUAAGGCACGAAAGCGUAGGGAGCAAACGGGAUUAGAUACCCCGGUAGUC